rnacentral:rRNA from 1 species
AACGAACGCUGGCGGCAUGCCUAACACAUGCAAGUCGAACGAGCCCUUCGGGGUUAGUGGCGCACGGGUGCGUAACGCGUGGGAAUCUGCCCUUGGGUUCGGAAUAACUCGCCGAAAGGCGUGCUAAUACCGGAUGAUGUCGAAAGACCAAAGAUUUAUCGCCCAAGGAUGAGCCCGCGUAAGAUUAGGUAGUUGGUGAGGUAAAGGCUCACCAAGCCGACGAUCUUUAGCUGGUCUGAGAGGAUGAUCAGCCACACUGGGACUGAGACACGGCCCAGACUCCUACGGGAGGCAGCAGUGGGGAAUAUUGGACAAUGGGCGAAAGCCUGAUCCAGCAAUGCCGCGUGAGUGAUGAAGGCCUUAGGGUUGUAAAGCUCUUUUACCCGGGAUGAUAAUGACAGUACCGGGAGAAUAAGCUCCGGCUAACUCCGUG